UACGUAGGGCGCGAGCGUUGUCCGGAUUUAUUGGGCGUAAAGAGCUCGUAGGCGGCUUGUCGCGUCGACUGUGAAAUCCCGCGGCUCAACUGUGGGCGUGCGGGCGAUACGGGCAGACUAGAGUACUGCAGGGGAGACUGGAAUUCCUGGUGUAGCGGUGGAAUGCGCAGAUAUCAGGAGGAACACCGGUGGCGAAGGCGGGUCUCUGGGCAGUAACUGACGCUGAGGAGCGAAAGCGUGGGGAGCGAACAGG
rnacentral:rRNA from 1 species